UUCUUGGUGGUCCAGUGGUUAGGAAACUGUGUUUCCACUGCAGAGGGCAGGGGUUCGAUCCCUUGUCAGGGAA
rnacentral:tRNA from 1 species